rnacentral:rRNA from 1 species
CGUGCAGGCGGUUUGGUAAGUCAGGCGUGAAAGCCCUGGGCUCAACCCAGGAAGUGCGUUUGAAACUACCAUACUUGAGUAUGGGAGAGGAGAGUGGAAUUCCCAGUGUAGAGGUGAAAUUCGUAGAUAUUGGGAGGAACACCCGUGGCGAAGGCGACUCCCUGGACCAAUACUGACGCUGAGACGCGAAAGCGUGGGUAGCAAACAGGAUUAGAUACCCUGGUAGUCC